rnacentral:lncRNA from 1 species
AAAUUGUGAAAUGUAAAAGAUGUUGCGGAUAUAGUGACAAUAGGAGAACAUGCAACAACUUGGAACCCCUACGCCAAACAUAAGGACAAGAGAAUCCAAAUAAACAUAGAAUAGUCAGUAAAUAGUAAAUAAUUUGUAUUUGAUUCGACUGGUAGAGAAUUAUUGCAUUCUUUCAUUUCUAUAGAGUUAUGGCUGAAAAAUAGUUUACAAAUUUCAUACUAGGAUAAAUCCCGUAAGCAUACCGGAUCAUUGAAAAGUAAUAAUUUUAGUAAGUUAGAGUAUUGUCAACAGGGUAAUAAUUCUUAAAGCAAACUGCAUUAGUUUUUAGUUAAUUUCAAAUGUAUGUAAACAAAAGAAAAGAUUUUUUUUUAAUUCCAAAUUAUUUUGCAAAUUAUCCAAAUGCUUUGUUUUAUAUGAAUUAUGGGAUAAAUGUAUUGGACUUGUGAAUCCACCUAAUGUUGUUCUUUUUCCAAUUUUCGACUUUUGUAAUUAAUGAUAUUUAUAUAUUCAUGAUAAUCGAUAAUCCAAUUUUAUCUAAUUACCUCUUUCGAGAUAAGUUAAACAUAUUCUAAACACAAUCCAAUCAUUUUCUUAUUAUGAAUUCAUAUGCAAAGUUAAAGCAUUCAAUUGUAUGAUUAUUUAUGUGAUUGCACAUCCCAUGCAUAUUAUUCCUAACAUCUAUUGCUUUUUAAUUUUUUAAUUUUUU